rnacentral:tRNA from 1 species
GGGAGUGGAAGGGUCCCGGUGGGCCUCGCGGUCUUCAAAACCGUUGCGGGGCGGUGUACCCGUCCCGGGUGGGUUCGACUCCCAUGCACUCCCGCCA